rnacentral:rRNA from 1 species
GGUUCGAUUCUGGCUCAGAUUGAACGCUCAGUGACGUUUACACACAUGCAAGUCGUGAACGGCAGCACGGACUUCGGUCUGGUGGCGAGUGGCGAACGGGUGAGUAAUGUAUCGGAACGUGCCUAGUAGCGGGGGAUAAUUCACAGCGGAAAGGGUAGCUAAUACCGCAUACGCCUCCUUCGGGGGAAAGCGGGGACCUUCGGGCCUUCGCACUAUUAGAGCGGCCGAUAUCGGAUUAGCUAGUUGGUGGGGUAACGGCUCACCAUAUGACGAUCCGUAGCUGGUUUGAGAGGACGAACAGCCACACUGGGACUGGAGACACGGCCCAGACUCCUACGGGAGGCAGUGGGAAUUCUUGGACAAUGGGGAAACUCGAUCCAGCCAUCCGCGUGCGGGGCACAGAAGGCCUUCGGGUUGUAAAGCACUUUUGGCAGGAAAAGAAACGCACGGGAUAAUACCCCGUGCAACUGACGGUACCUGCAGAACAGCACCGGCUAACUACGUGCCGCCGCGGCAAUACGCAGGUGCAAGCGUUAAUCGGGAAUUACUGGGCGUAAAGCGUGCGCAGUAUUCUGAAAGAAAGAUGUGAAAUCCCAGAGCUUAACUUUGAACUGCAUUUUUAACUACCGAGCUAGAGUGCGGUCAGAGGGAGGUGUGGAAUUCCGCGUAGCAGUGAAAUGCGUAGAUAUGCGGAGGAACACCGAUGGCGAAGGCAGCCUCCUGGGAUAACACUGGACGCUCAUGCACGAAAGCGUGGGGAGCAAACAGGAUUAGAUACCCUGGUAGUCCACGCCCUAAACGAUGUCAAUUCAGCUGUUGGGGCCUUCUGCCUUGCAGCGCAGCUAACGCGAAGUUGACCGCUUGGGAGUACGGUCGCAAGAUUAAAACUCAAAGAAUUGAUGACCCGCACAAGUGUGGAUGAUGGAUUAAUUCGAUGCAACGCGAAAAACCUUACCUACCUUGACAUGUCUGGGAAUCCGAAGAGAUUUUGGGAGUGCUUGCAAGAGAACCGGAACACAGGUGCUGCAUGGCUGUCGUCAGCUCGUGUCGUGAGAUGUUGGGUUAAGUCCCGCAACGAGCGCAACCCUCUUUGUCAUUAGUUGCUGGCUUAGGCACCGACGGAUCGCCGGUGACAAACCGAGGAAGGUGGGAUGACGUCAAGUCCUCAUGGCCCUACGGGCAGGGCUUCACACGUCAUACAAUGGUCGGGACAGAGGGUCGCCAACCUGGCGAGGGGGUUUCAAUCCCAGAACCCGGGAUCGUAGUCCGGAUCGCAGUUCGCAACCUGACUGCGGAAGUCGGAAUCGCUAGCAAUCGCGGAUCAGCAUGUCGCGGUGAAUACGUUCCGGUCUUGUACACACCGCCCGUCACACCAGCGGAGUGGGUUUUACCAGAAGUAGUUAGCCUAACCGUAAGGAGGGCGAUUACUACGGUGAGAUUCACGACUGGGGUGAAGUCGUACGCGUAG